CAGGAAGAGGAGAGCAUUCUACAUGUGUUGAGAGACUGAUUGGCUAGUAUGGAAUGCUACACAUCGACCAGCAGCUGGAAGGUUCUCAAACUGGGAAUGGCUACGAGUCUUCAUGUUUGGAUGCUGGCUACUCUGGACAUCUAGAUGCAGUUAUUUCAACGGUGCAGAUAUCAUCUGAUGGAAAGCAUAACAAACCAGCAACUUCAGCAUGAAGUUUUCAACGCAGCCUCGAGACCUGAAACUUAAUGGACACCGCCUCC